rnacentral:lncRNA from 1 species
GCCAGGCAGAAUGCCGCUGCGGGCAGCGGGAAGGGGGCACCGCCGUGCCUCGCCCCUGACCUGGGCUGGUGGCGGUUCCUGGCGACGGACCAUGAGGGGCGCCUGCGACCCUCACGCACAGUUGGCGGCUGGGGAGGGGCCUCGGGGAGGGGACCCCAGGUCGCUGCCCCAGCCACGCGCCCACCGCUCCCUGGUUGGGGGUAGGGCUCCACGCCAGGGUCAAGCCUGGCGCCCGGUACCAGGCCAGAAGUGGGUGGAGCGGUGGGCGUGGGCCGGGUACUGCUCCUGGCAGCCUUGGAACGGGCCCCCCAGCUCCAAUGCACCCCUGUCUGCCCUCAGGCCAACGCGGCUCAUCCACCAGCCACCCCACGACCACCGCCCCCUGCCCCAGGCACCCCUGGCCGGCCACAGCCCGCACACCAGGAGCCCGCCACCCCUGUGGGGACCCCACGAGGCACGGGUUGCUGGGAUGUGCUGGCCGCGCCCCUGGGCCUGGGAGAAACCCGAACCCCUGGGGAUGUGGAGCAGCCCUGGCACCGGAAGGGCAGGCCCGGAGGCCGAGGGCAGCAGGAGCCAGCGGGGGGCAGAGGCGGGUGCUGGUCGAGGGAGCCCACGGGCCCAGGCCCCAGGUUCCUGGCCGCUGACUGAGGGCCUCGAUUCCCUCCUACACAGGCGCACCGUUGCCCUCACAGGGCUCCCCCACAACAAACCCUCUUCCUUCCUUCCGGUCUCAGCUUCGGUGCCACUUCCUCCAGGGAGCCCACCAGGUACCGCCACAAGCUCUGGGAUGGCGGGGCCGGGUCCCUCCAGCGACGGCACAAGAGGGAAGAAUCCUCAAACAGAUUCCUACACAGAUGCCCCACAACCAACACUGGACCCCCCACCCCGAGAGCCACAUCGCCCCAGGAUUUCAUUUUACCGACGUUAACGAGAGGCGCGGGGCGUCGCAAACGCACAGCCACG